CAGCCGCCACGGUAAUACGUAGGGUCCGAGCGUUGUCCGGAAUUACUGGGCGUAAAGAGCUCGUAGGUGGUUUGUCGCGUUGUUCGUGAAAACUCACAGCUUAACUGUGGGCGUGCGGGCGAUACGGGCAGACUAGAGUACUGCAGGGGAGACUGGAAUUCCUGGUGUAGCGGUGGAAUGCGCAGAUAUCAGGAGGAACACCGGUGGCGAAGGCGGGUCUCUGGGCAGUAACUGACGCUGAGGAGCGAAAGCGUGGGGAGCGAACAGGAUUAGAUACCCCAGUAGUCCCUGUCUCUUAUAC
rnacentral:rRNA from 1 species